UGCCAACAGUAUUUAUGGACAACGAAGGGAAUGAUACAACAGUCAGACAAAGGCAACAACGUCAGGCAAGGCCAAUUAUGUACAACGAUUCCAAUGAAGAAGAAGAUGUUGAAUUGCCAGCUUUUGAAGAUGAAGCUGAAAUUCAGAG